CGCCUUCAACCUGGACGAAGAGAAGCUCGCCGUCUACAGCGGCCCCGAUGGCAGUUACUUCGGCUACGCGCUGGAUUUUUACAGCCCUGCACCGAACGCAGUCAGUGUCCUAGUUGGAGCUCCUAAAGCCAACACAACCCAGCCAGACAUAGUGGAAGGAGGAGCUGUCUAUUACUGCCCUUGGCCAGCCACUGAGUGUAAACAGAUCCCUUUUGAUAAUACAAACAACAGGAAAAUCAAAAUCAAUGGUACAAGAGAACCUCUUGAAUUUAAAUCAAAUCAGUGGUUUGGAGCAACAAUCAGAACUCAUAAAGGAAAAGUUGUAGCUUGUGCGCCCUUAUAUCAUUGGAGAACUCUGAAGGCUGCUCCUGAAAAAGAUCCAGUGGGCACCUGCUAUGUUGCUGUUCAGAAUUUCAGCACCUAUGUGGAAUAUUCUCCUUGCCGUAACAACAACCCAGAUCCUGAGGGGCAAGGUUACUGUCAAGCAGGAUUCAGCUUAGAUUUUUAUAAG